CAUCGCGCUGGCGCAACGGGGCCGAGAGCGAAACACCAUCGCCGUGGAACCAGUUGCGUAACAGAUCGAUGACCGACUAAAAGCGAAAAGGCGUCCUUGGCAGUGAAUCAAGCGCGCGUCCGUCACGCCGCGCUGGUUUGCACGGUGGAUCGCGUGUUUACGCUAUAAAUACUAUGCCCUUGCGGCGCCGGCGUCUGGACAAAAAUGGCAUGAGCAGGCAGCGAUUAUGGGCAGGCACCUCUCCAUGGUAUCGCAGAACUAUGUUAGAAACAGAACGGUAUGUGAGCGCCCGAUUUAGUUGGGAGUUUGCGAUUGAUUUCACGCAACCACUCGGCGCGUCCAUCUGUCAAUAGCCGUAAUCGUGGAUCUGUAUUGGCCAAGAUCAGAUUUCGUGCGUUUACACAACGUAAAUGGAUGGGACGCGCAGAAAUACAUCACCAGAG